rnacentral:rRNA from 1 species
CCCUUAGAUGUUCUGGGCCGCACGCGCGCUACACUGACUGGUGCAACAAGUGUCGCUCCUUGGCCGAUAGGCCUGGGCAAUCUUUGAACGCCAGUCGUGAUGGGGAUAGAUUCUUGCAAUUUUUGAUCUUCAACGAGGAAUUCCUAGUAAACACGAGUCAUCAACUCGCAUUGAUUACGUCCCUGCCCUUUGUACACACCGCCCGUCGCACCUACCGAUUGAAUGGUCCGGUGAACCCUCCGGAUCGGCCCGCGCCAACGCAAGUUGAGCAAAGGCCGAGAAGUUGGGUAAACCUUACCAUUUAGAGGAAGGUGAAGUCGUAACA